AUUUUGAGCAGUCUCUCUGCAACCACCACACACCAGACCUCUGACCUCGCUGACAUGCGAUGUGUUGCGAUUAGAGGGCCUCCCGUACUUCUUGGUGAUGACCCAACUGAGUUCUUCAAAGCCAUGCUUUGCUUCUGAUGACGCAGACUCAUACCAACAUGUGUCCGUUGGAAUCCUUAGCCGAAAAAAUGAAGAUGAGGCCCUGCAACCCCGGUCCUUCCACCUCCACCCAUCCUCAGUGGGAAUCAUCUUGGAGGGGAAUGUUGUAAUGGACAAUUUAGACAACAUACCCCAGGCCAUGUGUCUUUUGUUUGGGUUGACUUAUGCACUGCACCUAAACUACCCUAAGUGCAUGGGCAAUACCUUUCUUUUCAUUCAACAAGUUCUGCUAGGUUUGGGUAAGAA